UUAAUAAAAGCCAAAAAGAGGCAUCUCACUGUUAAUGAGUCCAUUGAUAUAUUCUUAUUAAG
rnacentral:tRNA from 1 species